UCAUUAAAGAGGAAGAGAAACAAAUCUCUUCUUCUUCGUCCUCAUACCUGCAAAAUCAGUAGAAGCCAUUCUCUCUCAACACUCCUCUCUCUCUCUCGGAUACUGCAUUGUUCUUAUCCUGAGAUUUCUAUUUCCUUGCGAUUGAAUUAUGGUUGGUUGAUUUCUUUAUUUGAGACGAUUGCUUAAUCUGGACCUGAUGAAGAGAGAAAUUAAAGAACUGAGGCGCCAGAGAGAUUUUGCACAAUCUCAAGUGGAUGAGUUGCAGAAAAAACUUCAAGAGGACCAACGGCUUCAAGCACAUUGGAAUCAACACCACGUCCAUCGGUAAAGAACUGUCUCUCUCUCCUACGCUGAUGCAUUAUUAUGAAAACUUGAGAACAAGGAGAUAAACCGCUGCGACAGAGCAAGGAAAACUAUGUUAAGGCUAUUAUCAUCAACUGCACCUUUUACUCUGAUGCAUGAAAUCCGUAAACUCGAACAUCUCAGGAGCAACUUGGAGCUCUAGAAGUAUUGCAAAAGGAAAGUCAUAGUCUAGGUGACCGAGAUGCAGCGGAGUUCAUUGCCAAGCUGCAAGGGAAAUGCAAUCUAUUCAAAAAAGAUUGUUGAUGUUGUUGAGAAGGAAGAAGGGGAGUUAGAGGAGGUGAGAUUGAUUUGGAUAUGGAACCAGGUGAGAAUGUUAAUAAUGGGGGAUUUUUUCAAUAUGAACAUUGAUGGACUUUUUAUGAAGUUGCUUUGGAGAGUGUAAUUGUAAAAAGUAAGCAAAAUUUGCUCAUGUUGAACUUCUUGAUAAAGUUGUGGGUUGUUGGAUAAGUUGUUCUACAAGUGAUUUUUUUUUUUUUGGUUUGUUGUAGAUCAUUUGAAGCAGUUUGUACAUUGGAGGGCUUGCAGGAAGUUGUUCUGGGAAAUAGCAUUUCCAAUAAAGAUGAUCUUAUUCAAUCGUCAUUCAAUGCUGUUCGAUUGAUUAAUUCUGUGAGUUGUGUCCUACGAGGUUUAUCCUGAUUUUAUUUCUUGACUAAUUGCAAUGCUGAUUAUUGUCAUUUACAGGUUUUCUCCUCGAUGAACCAUAUAGUAAGAGAACAUAACAGGACAGCUUUUCAAGGUGUCAAUUUUUGUAAUACUUAUUCUUUCCUAUAGUGAAAAUUUUUACGUCACCA